rnacentral:misc_RNA from 1 species
UCCGGUUUGUCACCGGCAGUCCCAUUAGAGUGCUCAACUGAAUGUAGCAACUAAUGGCAAGGGUUGCGCUCGUUGCGGGACUUAACCCAACAUCUCACGACACGAGCUGACGACAGCCAUGCAACACCUGAUGAAGGCUCCCCUUGCGGGGUCGUUACCGUUUCCGGUUUCUACCACCUCCACUUCAAGCCCGGGUAAGGUUCUUCGCGUUGCAUCGAAUUGAACCACAUGCUCCACCGCUUGUGCGAGCCCCCGUCAAUUCCUUUGAGUUUUAACCUUGCGGCCGUAGUCCCCAGGCGGGGCACUUAAUGCGUUAGCUGCGGCACUCAGGGGGUCAAUACCCCGAACACCUAGUUCACAACGUUUAGGGCGUGGACUAC